GAGAUAAAGAAAUGAGUGUUUUGCAGGAAAUGUAUAAAAAUAACUGCACUUAUUUUAAUAUUUUAGAAUAGAAAUCAGGGUAACUUCACUUGGGUAAUAUUUUAUUGACUCGUUAGAUCUUCAAAACUAUUUUUCAUAAUAAAUGUCCGCUUUAUGUUCUUCAAAGAACUGCAACAAUAAAAAUAAAAGUAAAAUACGGUAGAAAAUGUAUAAAAUUAAAAGGCUAAACAAACAGUUUUAUGAACAAUACCACAGCUCAAUGCUUCUUCUUUACUUCAGAUAUAGAGCAUAGAGGAGACGGAAGAGAGGAAGAGAGGGGUAGACUAGAGGGAGAGAGGAAGAGAGGGGUAGACUAGAGGGAGAGAGGAAGAGAGGGGUAGACUAGAGGGAGAGAGGAAGAGAGGGGUAGACUAGAGGGAGAGAAGAGAAGGGGUAGACUAGAGGGAGAGAGGAAGAGAGGGGGUAGACUAGAGGGAGAGAAGAGAAGGGUUAGACUAGAGGGAGAGAGGAAGAGAGGGGUAGACUAGAGGGAGAGAAGAGAAGGGGUAGACUAGAGGGAGAGGGGAUAGACUAGAGGGAGAGAAGAGAAGGGUUAGACUAGAGGGAGAGAAGAGAAGGGGUAGACUAGAGGGAGAGAGGGGGUAGACUAGAGGGAGAGAAGGGGUAGACUACAGGGAGGAGAGAAGGGGUAGACUAGAGGGAGAGGGAUAGACUAGAGGGAGAGAAGAGAAGGGAUAGACUAGAGGGAGAAGAGAGGGGGGGUAGACUAGAGGGAGAGAGGGGGUAGACUACAGGGAGAGAGGGGGUAGACUACAGGGAGAGAAGGGGUAGACUACAGGGGAGAGGGGGUAGACUAGAGGGAGAGAAGGGGUAGACUACAGGGAGAGGAACAGAGAGAAAUAGAGAUAUAUGGAAAGAUAAAGAGUUGGAGAGAGGGAAAUAAUUAGUUACAUUUUUCCGUUUAUUUACUACUUUUUCUUUAAUGAUUUAUGUCCCGCUCACAGUCUGAUUCCCAUGCAACCAUGUGAUUGGCUGGCAAUAUUGCUUGGAUGACCUGGGGGAGUUCACUGACAGCAGAUACAAAUACAAUGAGCAGAUCAGAAACAAUGGAGAGUUCUGCCCGUUCUGGACAGUGAAUUUCUAUCUGCUUUGUUCCUACAGUUAGCCCGUGUCUCAAAUGGCAGCCUGUGCACUACUUUUGACCAGAGCCACGUAGAUCAUAGGCCUCUGGUCUAAAGUCAUGCACUUUUAGAGGAAAAGGGUGCCAUUUAAGACACAUACAGUCUUACACGCUCUGAAUGACUUCAUACUCACCCCCUCAACCUUCUCCACAUCGCCCGCACUCACACACACACACACACACACACACCCCACACCCACACCCACACCCACCCACACCCACACACACACACACACACACACACACACACACACACACACCUGCCUGGCUGGGGUUGAUCACCUGGACAACGGGCGGGACAAUCAACCAAUGAGGUGAAGCAACAGGAUGCACGGAGAGGGAGGGCCAAUGACAGUAAAUUAACUCAAAUUCUCUUAGCCAAUGGCAUCAUGAACAGCUCUAUCGCUAUAGAAACACAUGAUAACACGUAAUAUUCAGUUUUGGAUUAUUUUACAGACAUUGUUGAUAUAAAACACUCAUCAGAGCAGGUACAGUCAGUCGUACAUGUAAUGUCUAUAGCACAGGCUGUAAAACAGGGCUGGGCCUGUGGCAGGGGAACAUAUCCUGCCUUUUACAGCAGGGUCACUCACUAAACCGCACCCCGACACAAACACACCACCCGGCCUCUCAGAGACACUGUAGCCCAGUCACACCUCAGUUGGUCAGUAUCUGCUGUGUGUUGGGAGGUGAGGGAAGGUUGAUUGGGUACAAAUUCAGUUGUUACGUGUCCUGUAUCUGUCCCAUCUUGUUAUUGAUGAUUGAUAAAUGAUCUUGCAAUAACAAUAUAUGCCAUUUCUCAGAUGCUUCUACCCAAAGCAACACACUUUUUAACUUAUGGGUGACCCCAGCGGGAAUUGAACCCACAAUCCUGGUGUUGCAAGUGCCAUGCUCUACCAAUGGGGCUACAGAGGACCACCAUGUACUGAUCCAGUUGUUAUGUGUUGUCUGUCUGUCAUUAUUAAGCCCAGUAAUAAUGGUCUGAUGGGCGUAAAGGAAGUAUAUUACGUUGAAGUGAAUAAACCAGGUGGUAGUUUAUUGUAAACCCAGUUGGUAGGUCAGGUGGUAGUUUAUUAUAAACCCAGUUGGUAGGUCAGAUGGUAGUUUAUUAUAAACCCAGUUGGUAGGUCAGGUGGUAGGUCAGGUGGUAGUUUAUUAUAAACCCAGUUGGUAGGUCAGGUGGUAGUUUAUUAUAAACCCAGUUGGUAGGUCAGGUGGUAGUUUAUUAUAAACCCAGUUGGUAGGUCAGGUGGUAGGUCAGGUGGUAGAUUAUUAUAAACCCAGUUGGUAGGUCAGGUGGUAGAUUAUUAUAAACCCAGUUGGUAGGUCAGAUGGUAGAUUAUUAUAAACCCAGUUGGUAGGUCAGGUGGUAGUUUAUUAUAAACCUAGUUGGUAGGUCAGGUGGUAGGUUAUGGCUGUGCUGGGUUUAGGAGUAACUCCUGUAGUCUCUGCUCUGUUAGCAACACAUGGAGUAAGAUAAUUCAACGUGCAACAAUUUCCCCAUAGAGUUUAAACUGCAAACAUUUUCAUUCUUCCUCUUUUCUUCAUCAGCAUCUUCGUCAGCAUCAUCUCACAUUUCGUUGGCAUCACAGAGUCAGUGAUGAAAUGUUGGUGUUUUAUAUAUAUAUAUAUAUAUAUAUAUAUAUAUAUAUAUAUAUAUAUAUAUAUAUAUAUAUAUAUGCGGUAUGUGUAGAUAGGUAGGUAGGUAGUUCUGGUGUCUGGUCUCCUCUCCAGAGUCUUUUGUUUCCAUAGUGUUGAUAGGUUGAUAUCACGUUGUGACGUUGUAUUGUUUUGUACAAUAAACGUCCCAGCAACACUUGAAACACACAAAGCUCCUUCUCCCACCUACCUAUAGCGAGUCGGCGUAUCAAGCCACCAUGGCAACCCUGGUGGGUGUGGCUCUUCCUGUCUUGUUGCCGGGGUAACGUCCAUCCUGCUGACUUGUGGGUUAGGGCUAGGUUCAGGUAAUCUGGUGUUAUACCAUUGGACAAAACACCAGUCUUACACUCAACUAUAACUGAGUUUAUUAAAGUGUUAAUCUGGUUAUUCUGAUUUUGUCUCUGUAUGACAGAAGACAAGCAUUCUCUCGGUUCUUUCCUAUUCUGACCAGCCCCCCUCAUCUCUCUGACCCUGCUCCCCCUCCUCUCUCUGACCCUGCUGCCCCCUCCUCUCUCUGACCCUGCUCCCACCUCCUCUCUCUGACCC
ensembl:lncRNA